rnacentral:rRNA from 1 species
GUGAGACAGUUCGGUCCCUAUCUGGUGUGGGCGUUGGAUGAUUGAUGGGAGCUGCUCCUAGUACGAGAGGACCGGAGUGGACGAACCGCUGGUGUUCGGGUUGUCAUGCCAAUGGCAUUGCCCGGUAGCUACGUUCGGAACGGAUAACCGCUGAAAGCAUCUAAGCGGGAAGCCGGCCCAAAGAUGAGUCAUCCCUGAACUUUAAGUUCUGGAAGGGUUGUUAUAGACGAUGACGUUGAUAGGCAGGGUGUGGAAGCGUUGUAAGGCGUUAAGCUAACCUGUACUAAUUGCCCGAGAGGCUUAACC